UACGUAGGUGGCAAGCGUUGUCCGGAAUUACUGGGCGUAAAGAGCUCGUAGGUGGUUUGUCGCGUUGUUCGUGAAAACUCACAGCUUAACUGUGGGCGUGCGGGCGAUACGGGCAGACUGGAGUACUGCAGGGGAGACUGGAAUUCCUGGUGUAGCGGUGGAAUGCGCAGAUAUCGGGAGGAACACCGGUGGCGAAGGCGGUUCUCUGGGCCUGUACUGACGCUGAGGAGCGAAAGCGUGGGGAGCGAACAGG
rnacentral:rRNA from 1 species